rnacentral:lncRNA from 1 species
GUAAUAUCAUUACAACUAAACUAUGAACUGUUAUGAAACUAGUAGGUAAUAUUACACUUUAUUGAAGUGAAUAUUAAAUAAACAUUGCAACUUCUAUGAAACAUAAGGAACAGUUGCAGCGACGAUAACAUAAAAGGACGUGUGUCAUUUUGACUAACAUUUUUGAUACGAGUUAUACAACUUAACGUAAAAUUUCAUGUUUUAAAAUUAAAUUUGAUAAAGAAAAUGAAACUAGAGGCUCUAAAGAGCCUGUGUUGCUCACCUUGGUCUAUGUGAAUAUUAAACAAUGGACACAGAUGGAUUCAUGACAAAAUUGUGUUUUGGUGAUGGUGAUGUGUUUGUAGAUCUUACUUUACUAAACAUUCUUGCUGCUUACAAUUAUCUCUACCUAUAACAGUACUUUCUGUGGAAAAUGUUAUUGAAAAUCUUCAAAUUUUAAGAAAAUUGUUAAAAAUUGACUAUGAAGGGCAAUAAUUCCUUAGGGGGUCAAUUGACUAUUUUGG